UGAUCCUUUUAAUGAAAGGUGCUAGUUUUGUGACACUUUGUUUUCUCCACGUAUGUGGAGG
rnacentral:sRNA from 1 species